rnacentral:rRNA from 1 species
GACGAACGCUGGCGGCGUGCUUAACACAUGCAAGUCGAACGGAAAGGCCCUGCUUUUGUUGGGUGCUCGAGUGGCGAACGGGUGUGUAACACGUGAGUAACCUGCCCUUGACUUUGGGAUAACUUCAGGAAACUGGGGCUAAUACCGGAUAGGAGCUCCUGCUGCAUGGUGGGGGUUGGAAAGUUUCGGCGGUUGGGGAUGGACUCGCGGCUUAUCAGCUUGUUGGUGGGGUAGUGGCUUACCAAGGCUUUGACGGGUAGCCGGCCUGAGAGGGUGACCGGCCACAUUGGGACGGAGAUACGGCCCAGACUCCAACGGGAGGCAGCGGUGGGGAAAAUUGCACAAUGGGCGGAAGGCUGAAGCAGCAACGCCGCGUGCGGGAUGACGGCCUUCGGGUUGUAAACCGCUUUCGCCUGUGACGAAGCGUGAGUGACGGUAAUGGGUAAAGAAGCACCGGCUAACUACGUG